CCUACGGGGGACAGCAGUGAGGAAUAUUGGUCAAUGGACGAGAGUCUGAACCAGCCAAGUGGCGUGAAGGAUGACUGCCCUAUGGGUUGUAAACUUCUUUUAUAUGGGAAUAAAAUGUUCCACGUGUGGGAUUUUGUAUGUACCAUAUGAAUAAGGAUCGGCUAACUCCGUACCAGCAGCCGCGGUAAUACGGAGGAUCCGAGCGUUAUCCGGAUUUAUUGGGUUUAAAGGGAGCGUAGGUGGAUUGUUAAGUCAGUUGGGAAAGUUUGCGGCGCAACCGUAAAAUUGCAGUUGAAACUGGCAGUCUUGAGUACAGUAGAGGUGGGCGGAAUUCGUGGUGUAGCGGGGAAAUGCUUAGAUAUCACGAAGAACUCCGAUUGCGAAGGCAGUUCACUGGACUGCAACUGACACUGAGGCUCGAAAGUGUGGGUAUCAAACAGGAUUAGAUACCCCUGUAGU
rnacentral:rRNA from 1 species